AAAGAAAAAAGAAAGCAAGCAAGAGAAAAAGAGGCUUCGGGAGAGACGAACAAAUGCCACGCCUCACGGCCGGACAUUGGAGCUCGCCGCGCAUCGCCCCAAAUCCCGUUGGAACUCGCCGCAUCGCCCCCAAUCCCGUUGGAACUCGCCGCAUCGCCGACGAGCGUGCGGUGGCAGUGGUGCUGAACUCUUCCGCCAUUCUCUGUCUGUCUUCCUCUCCUACCACCACCAACUGAGAAGCGAGACGGCGCACCGUCUUAGGAGGAGGAGCACGCAGGUCUUCUUCUAGCGGCCGGAGCUUCGGCGCAGGCCACGUGUUCGACGGAAUGUCUGAGAGGCUCAACUACGAAGAAAACAUCGAAACGGCAGCGGCCGGCGGCGAGGACCGUGUAGGCACCUUGCCGGACCAGCUCCUGCAGACGAGCUUUCGUGGAGGCAACCUGCUCGACAGAAUGUCCAAGAGGCAUCACGACGAGGGAAACAUGGAAAGGGCGGUGGCUGGUGGCGAGGACCGCAUCAGCGCCCUCCCGGACGAACUCCUCCAGUACAUGAUGUCAUUCCUGCUUUCCCGCGACGCCGUGCGGACAUGCGUGCUCGCUAGGCGCUGGCGCAUGCUCUGGAAGUCCGUGCCCUCCCUACGCAUUGAUGAUCCCGAGAGCUACCACGGCGCUACGGGCUCCAGCUUGUUUGUCAAUGAGCUGCUUCGUCUCCGUGACCCAACGCCUCUGAAUACAUGUGACAUCCGUUCUGGUUGUCAGGAGACUGCGAACACCAAUUGGGCCAAGGAGGCAUUCCGACACAUGGAACCAUGGCUCCUGUAUGCUUUAUCCUGUCAAGUUCCAGUGCUUCGAAUUUGUUUUCCCUGGCGGGUAAUCAACAUGACUCUUGUCUCAUCGCACUUGAAGAGGUUACAUCUUUACCGCAUGCGAUUUGAGGGAUGCUCUCUGGAUUUUUCGAGCUGUCAGGUGCUACAGGUGUUAGAGAUGAAAGCUUGUCAUAUCCAUGUGAAUCUCUUGUCCCAGUCAUUACGAUUUCUUAAAAUUCACUACACGAGUUUUGGUUUUGAUCCACGCACUCGUAUUUCUGCCCCAAAUCUCAUUGGCUUCAGACUAGCUCCAUUUUACGGUUUGGCUCCUUUGCUUGAUAGCAUGCCAUCACUGGUAGCAGCAUCUAUUACACUUGGAGAAAUGUGCGAGGAAAUGUGUUACUGUGGAAAUCUAUCAUGUGGGGGAUGCGAUGCUCAAGCCGGUAACAACGACUAUCCUGUGGCUCUCCAAGGUUUGUCAGGUGCUACGAAUUUGAAGUUGACAGCAAUAUCUUAUCCGAUAAGGCUGUCUGUUUUGAGAAUGGAUUUGACAUGGCGCCCCAUGUUCAGGAAGCUAAAAAAGUUGUUGCUCAAUGAGUGGUGUGUGGCUGAUGAUUUCACUGGAUUGAUUUACUUUCUCCAGCACUCACCCAUUCUAGAGACACUGAUACUAAAGCUUGAUUUGCAAACUUCUGAGCAAAAUAUAUUGUUUGUUACAGGAUUAUCAUUUGAACGAAAUUGAUGGAAGUUGUAACUCAAGGGAACAAUCAUUGCUAUCACAACAUCUCAAGGUAGUCAAAAUUAUAUGUGGCACGCAGGAAGAUGUGAUAGUUCACCGUAUUUCAAAGAUCCUAUGUGCCCAUGGAGUACCUUCUGAGCAAAUUCAGAUAGAAUAGACCUUCUGUUUGAUUGCAGGGUUCCAUUUCUAUUGGGAGGCGUUGUUCGGCUGGUCUACUUCGCCCUCUGUUCUUCGGUCUUCAUGGAUCUAGCACCAUCAAGUUGCUGCUUUUCGUCUACUAGCUAAGUGUCCCAUUCGUAUGAACUCGCUCAUAUGUAAUUUGCUGCGUACUUUGUUGCUCGAAUGCAGUAAGAACAUGUUUGAAGUGUCGCCA